AACACAUGAUGAUGGCACCUUCUCAAAAGAUCCUUAAAUCUCUCACAUGCAUCAUAUAAUGUAUCUAAAUCAAUUUGAACAUAAGAAGAGAUGUCAUUUCUCAACUU
rfam:Gossypium arboreum cultivar AKA8401 contig_6165_5, whole genome shotgun sequence.